GCGUCGCGGUCAAUAUGCAGUCGAACGCUUUUUCUUUCACCGGAGCUUGCUCCACCGUAAAGAAAAAGAGUGGCGAACGGGUGACCCCCCACGAAAGGUAACCUGCCCAUCAGAAGGGGGAUAACACUUGGCCCACAGGUGCUAAUACCGUAUAACACUAUUUUCCGCAUGGAAAAAAGUUGAAAGGCGCUUUUGCGUCACUGAUGGAUGGACCCGUGGUGCAUUAGCUAGUUGGUGAGGUAACGGCUCACCAAGGCAACGAUGCAUAGCCGACCUGGGAGGGUGAUCGGGCACCCUGGGACUGAGACACAGUCCAGACUCCUACGGGAGGCAGCAGUAUGGAAUCUUCGGCAAUGGACGAAAGUCUGACCGAGCAACGCCGCGUGAGUGAAGAAGGUUUUCGGAUCUCAAAACUCUGUUGUUAGAGAAGAACAAGGAUGAGAGUAAAAUGUUCAUCCCUUGACGGUAUCUAACCAGAAAGCCACGGCUAACUACGUGCCAGCAGCCUCGGUAAUACGUAGGUGGCAAGCGUUGUCCGGAUUUAUUGGGCGUAAAGCGAGCGCACGCGGUUUCUUAAGUCUGAUGUGAAAGCCCCCGGCUCAACCGGGGAGGGUCAUUGGAAACUGGGAGACUUGAGUGCAGAAGAGGAAAGUGGAAUUCCAUGUGUAGCGGUGAAAUGCGUAGAUAUAUGGAGGAACACCAGGGGCGCAAGGCGGCUCUCUGGUCUGUAACUGACGCUGAAGCU
rnacentral:rRNA from 1 species